rnacentral:tRNA from 1 species
AUUAUUUUGGCAGAAUUAAUGCAUUGAAUUUAGAAUUCAUUUAUAUAUUAAUAAAAUAUAAAUAAUA